rnacentral:rRNA from 1 species
AACGAACGCUGGCGGCAGGCCUAACACAUGCAAGUCGAGCGCCCUUUCGGGGGAGCGGCGGCCGGGUGAGUAACGCGUGGGAAUAUGCCCUUCUCUACGGAAUAGCCUCGGGAAACUGAGAGUAAUACCGUAUACGCCCUGUGGGGGAAAGAUUUAUCGGGGAAGGAUUAGCCCGCGUUGGAUUAGGUAGUUGGUGGGGUAAUGGCCUACCAAGCCGACGAUCCAUAGCUGGUUUGAGAGGAUGAUCAGCCACACUGGGACUGAGACACGGCCCAGACUCCUACGGGAGGGAGCAGUGGGGAAUCUUAGACAAUGGGGGCAACCCUGAUCUAGCCAUGCCGCGUGAGUGAUGAAGGCCUUAGGGUUGUAAAGCUCUUUCAGCUGGGAAGAUAAUGACGGUACCAGCAGAAGAAGCCCCGGCUAACUCCGUG